GACAUUCCUGUUUGACAAGGAAACUGGUGCGUUCGUACCUCAAGAACAGGUCACGUCGUAAACCACAAUAUCCCAACGCGGGAAUCCUCGCCCUUCAGGGCGGGGA
rfam:Natronorubrum tibetense GA33 contig_16, whole genome shotgun sequence.